CCUACGGGGGGCAGCAGUGAGGAAUAUUGGUCAAUGGGCGGAAGCCUGAACCAGCCAAGUCGCGUGAGGGAUUAAGGCCCUGCGGGUCGUAAACCUCUUUUGCCGGGGAGCAGUGGUCCGGACGAGUCCGGGCCGGGAGAGUACCCGGAGAAAAAGCAUCGGCUAACUCCGUGCCAGCAGCCGCGGUCAUACGGAGGAUGCGAGCGUUAUCCGGAUUUAUUGGGUUUAAAGGGUGCGUAGGCGGGCAUUUAAGCCGGCGGUCAAAUGUCGGGGCUCAACCCCGGCCUGCCGGCGGAACUGGGUGCCUUGAGUGGGCGAGAAGUAUGCGGAAUGCGUGGUGUAGCGGUGAAAUGCAUAGAUAUCACGCAGAACCCCGAUUGCGAAGGCAGCAUACCGGCGCCCGACUGACGCUGAGGCACGAAAGUGCGGGUAUCGAACAGGAUUAGAUACCCCGGUAGUC
rnacentral:rRNA from 1 species